AUAUUGGACAAUGGGCGCAAGCCUGAUCCAGCCAUGCCGCGUGAGUGAUGAAGGCCCUAGGGUUGUAAAGCUCUUUCACCGAUGAAGAUAAUGACUGUAGUCGGAGAAGAAGCCCCGGCUAACUUCGUGCCAGCAGCCGCGGUAAUGCGAAGGGGGCUAGCGUUGUUCGGAAUUACUGGGCGUAAAGCGCACGUAGGCGGACAUUUAAGUCAGGGGUGAAAUCCCGGGGCUCAACCCCGGAACUGCCUUUGAUACUGGGUGUCUGGAGUAUGGAAGAGGUGAGUGGAAUUCCGAGUGUAGAGGUGAAAUUCGUAGAUAUUCGGAGGAACACCAGUGGCGAAGGCGGCUCACUGGUCCAUUACUGACGCUGAGGUGCGAAAGCGUGGGGAGCAAACAGGA
rnacentral:rRNA from 1 species